GAACGCACAUUGCGCCCCCUGGUAUUCCGGGGGGCACCCCUGUUCGAGCGCCAUUACAAACCUCAAGCCUUGCUUGGUGAUGGGCCCCGCCCGCGCGGCGGGCCCGAAACUCGUGGGCGCCCCAGGCCGGAUUCCAAGCGUAGCAAAACCCUCGCUUGUGUGACCGGUCGGAGGCCGCCCCGGACCCCAAAUUUUAUCAAUGGUUGGCCUCGGAUCAGGUGGGGAUACCCGCUGAACUUAAG
rnacentral:misc_RNA from 1 species